UCAGCAUACCCCUACUCCUCCUCCUCCCCUGACGACCACUGAUACAAGUUGUGAAUCAGUGGUGACGACGAGCGGCCAUCAGCGUGAUGCGGCCACCCCUGCUGGGUACACACUACUAUUUUAAUUUUCUCUCAUUUCUUCCUAUAAUCAUACUUUUUCUUUAAUAAUAAUAAUAAUAAUAUAUUAAUUGUUGGUGAAAUAUUGGGUUUGGGCUGGGUGGAUUCUCUAGACUUUUGUCGAUUGCAGAGGAG
rnacentral:lncRNA from 1 species